ensembl:lncRNA
CUGCACUGACUCCUGCAAACAGUUCCUAGAGCAGGUAUCAGGGUUGCUUGCCCUUUAAGAGGGCUCUUAGCUGCCCGAGUGGAUGAGAAACGUGCAGAACUAUGGGAGGAUAGGAGUGUGAUGGGUUUUAAGCAUGAGGCAAGGAAGACAUGAAUGAGCUGUACCUCACCCAAUAUCUGAUGGCAGAGAUCAGUAAACUUCAAGAUGUGCUUCAUCUUAAAUCCUAGUCUAACACCAGUCUUCCUGCAGACAGUUCCGAGAGCAGGUCUCAAUGUCGCUUGCCCUUUAAGAGGGCUCUCAGCUGCUCGAGUGGUUGAGGAUCAAUGUGUUAAGAUUGAUAUUAGACUAGGAAAAAAAUCUUUGUUAACUUUUAUUUCCAUUUCUUCUGCUUCUUUGCUGCCUCUCCUUUCCCUUCCCUUCAGGGUUUACUGUGGUUCUCACUGAUCUGUUUAUGUAGCCAUCCAGAAGAGAUGAGAGCAUUUUGGGGACUGAAAGCUUCAAUAGCCAACUUACUGCCCUCCGUGGUUAGUGAGGAGGGCAGUCUGCAUAUUCAGCUAGGUAGUUAUUUGCAUGUGAAGUCCCUGGAGGCUUACAAACUGUUGAGAGGUUCUGCAAGACACACAAACAAACAGACCAAAAGGCUGGCAACUCUUCUUGGAGGUCUGCAGCAUUCCAGUGUAUGAAAGGUUCUGAGAAGUCUCAACCCAGAAUUUCCAAACUUCUUUGAGCCUAAAACUCGUUUGUCUCAUACCUAGUCCCAGACCCCCACAAAACAUGUUUUGCAGAACUUCUGCCAACUUUGGGAUAGCUUACCCCCUUCCUAUUCGGGAAAGGUUUUAUUGCUUGUAGACCCCUCAGAAGGCAGGGUAUGGUGUACAUGGGCUGUUCUCCCCAUCUCAGCCUGGGUCAUGAACAAACGGGCAGUUGUUUGGCCUGAAUCUCGGGGCAAGUUGGGGAGACCACAUAGAAAGACUCUGUGAGUGAUUUGGGGAGUGGGAUGUCUUUGACCUUGGAGAGAGGAGAGUCAUUGGUUUUUCGCCUAAGCCAGCUCUUUUAUGUUUUGCUUCUGGGACUUGUCCCUGGAAAUGUGUGAGCUUCUGGCCUCUAUUCUGAUUUUCUUGUGCCUCAUGAGUUACAUACGACGUCCUGCACCUAAUAUUUUGUGAUGUCUCUCCUGAUACUAUUAAGGUGGUUUGUAAUUUACCUGGCUUAAAAUCUAAUAUUACUAAGGUUGGGAGCUCUCCUUUAAAGGAAGGAUAAACAAGUUUCAUCUUGUGAGCCAACUUCUAAUAUUUGAUGGUGGCUACAUUGUGACAAGAAAGGUUUUUGAACUUGUUGGGUCAGUGGAUGGGCACAAGGGCACCCAGUGGUGGUACCCGGGCCAGGUUUUUGUUACUUGUCUUUUUAAGUUGAAAAUUCACCCUACUGUGCAGUCUAACUGAAAAUGGAAGAGACCAUGCCUGGGCAACAUGGCAAAACCCCAUCUCUACAAAAAAAUUACAAAAGAUUAGCCAGGGAUGGUGGGGCAUGCGGUAGUCCCAGCUACUUGGGAGGCUGAGGUGGGAGAAUCACCUGAGCCUGGGAGGUUGAGGCUGCAGUGAGCUAUGAUCACACCACUGCACUCUAACCUGGGUGACAGAGUGAGACCCUGUCUCAAAAGAAUAAAAUGUUUUUUAACUCAGAUGGGCAGAGUUUGGGCUGUACCUAUGCAGUGGCCAUUUGGACUGCACAGCAUGAUAGUGGGGUUUUAAACUAGAAUGAUGAAGGCACAGGUGCUUGCAGGCUGCCAUUUUGAGAUGGAAACAGCCACGUGUCAUCAUGUUAAACUGUCAGUGUUUCAAGCUGUUCUGCUUGAAUUUUGAAGACACCUGGAUCUUUUUUUUUUUUAAUAUUUCAAAAUAAGCAUGGCAGGCUUCUAUUGAGGUUUUGGCUUUUCUCAUUUCUAAAGAAUUAGAGUUGUAACUUCGUAUUAGUUGUAAGUUUGGGGUUUGGUCCUCACCCAAGUUGGAAAGCUGUUUGCUUAAGACAUAAAUGUAUUAUAAUAAUAGAAGGGAGGGAGUAGAAAGCUGAUGAACCCUUGUUACUUAUAGCAAACUUCCUGCUGUUUAAAAUGCACAGAGAUUAUUUUAUCAACUGUGCUUAGCACGCAAUUGGUAUUUUUAUUGUUCUGCCAUUUUAUUGAGGCUAUCAAAUGGGACUUCAGACCUGGCUCUGAGCAGGACCACAUGUGUGUAUUUAUAUUGAGUGCCCUCACUCAUGAUAAGGUGACUUCAUGGAGACCCAGAAACUAACCCUAAGGGGUGUUCAACUUUGAAGUGGCAUCCAAAUGCUGAGGGGAAGUGGUGUCCGUCCUCUGAGGUCUAGGGUCCUACUUUGUGAGCUCAGGUGUGUUCACCUGUGGUUCAGUGUACCUCAGCCCCUAAGGCAAGCGAUCGUUCAGUGACUUGCAGCAAUGUGGGAAGUGAGGGGACCCCUGCCACACCCUCCACCACCCCCUGUAGAGUCACUGACCUUCAUCCUUCACCGUGGUCCUCCAUGGUGCAGCAGCAUCUCAUGGGCCUUGUGGCUCUCAGAGCUCGUGGUUGGAACCCCGUCCACUGGUCCCAAACCUGGAGGGGCAGCUGCAGAUGAGGUUUAGACCUCCUGGUGUUUCCGUGGAUUCUGAGUGCCCGGGAGGGGAGGGGAGGGGGUGGCAUCCUGGCCUCCAGGAUAAAUGCCUGGAGUAUAGGGCAGUGCCACGGGCACUUGGAGACCCUGUCCUGCGCAUCUGCCAAGCCUGGCAGUUUUUAGAGUUUUUUGAAAUGUUUUGAUACUUUUUGAUACAAUUUGCUAAUAACUGUUUUGUAGAAUGCCUGCCGGGGUUUUCCACCUCAUCCCUUUCCUCCGGCCCCUUGAUUUGUGCUGGACAACAAAUGGCAGCACCAGGACCUCGCCUCGUGUGGCUUUGUCUUGGAUCUUGCCCUUCUCCGUCGCUGAUGCGAUACAGCUCUAGAAUUUCGUGAAGUUGCAUGCAAAGUUGCGUGCAGCCCGUGGGUAUGACUGUCUCAGGCCCCCAGCUGAUUUUCCAAGAGGAAACCUUAACCCCCUUGAGAGGGUCUGUGUUUCUUCUAGAGCUCCUACCUCAGUGGUGUGCACAGAGUUGGAGAGACACCUGAGGGCUGGUCCACGUCUCACCUUUGCCAUACGGGUCAUUUCUUGAUCAAAUAUGUGACUGGGGUCCUGGUUUACUCCCGUCCACCCUUUCUUUUAAAGUAUUCUUAACAUGAAAUCCACAAAAGCGGAAACAAUGAACCAUUCUUGCACUUUACAGAAUCGUUGUCCUUAGCUUUAGAGGUUGUUAAUUUCUUGUUUUUAACAUGAACAGAAUGUGUGGUUCUGAAGGUGUGUGGGGAUCUGAAGAAAUUGUCCUUUGGGGCCGGGCGUGGUGGCUCACGCCUGUACUCCCAGCACUUUGGGAGGCCAAGGGGGAUGGAUCACUUGAGGUCAAGAGUUUGAGACCACCCUGACCAACAUGGCGAAAACCCCGUCUCUACUAAAAUACAAAAAUUAGGCAGUCGUGGUCACCUGUAAUCUCAGCUCUUCGGGAGGCUGAGGCAGGAGAAUUGCUUGAACCCAGGAGGCAGAGGUUGCAGUGAGCUGAGAUUGCGCCACUGCACUCCAGCCUGGGUGACAGAGUAACACUCUGUCUCUAAAAAAAAAAAAGAAAAAUAAGAAAAAUAAAAAAAGAAAUUGUCCUUUGGUUGCCUUAGUUACCAGAGUUGAAUGAAUGUACACGUUUCGGUAGUGGCGGGGGCAGAGUGGGUAACCCCUUCCUUGUCUGUUUCCUUUGAGAAAGGACACUCCACCUUUUCAAAGUUACUUAAAGCCAUCUUUACAGAUUGCUUGUAAUGUAAGGAAAGAGUCCUGUCCUUUGGAUUGAUUGAGGUUAAAUCAUCAACCACUAGGCUCCUUUCAAAAUCAGCGAGAUAUUUGAUGAUUAAGUGAUUCAUUGGGUAUGUUCUGGCUACUGAUGUUACUGAAAUCUGCAAUCGUGUAUGUUUUUUAAUUUGUUGCUUUUGUAUUUGUAAUUUUAUGACAUUUCGAAGUUUCUGUGUCUUAACUCUUUUUAAUUAAUUUUCUGCACGUUGUUUUUUUCUCUUUGUUUUUAAUUCCAUACAGAGUAUUCAAUUCUUGAAACACAUUAAAAUAAUUUGCUUGCUAG